rnacentral:rRNA from 1 species
AGUGAACGCUGGCGGUAGGCCUAACACAUGCAAGUCGAACGGCAGCACAGUAAGAGCUUGCUCUUACGGGUGGCGAGUGGCGGACGGGUGAGGAAUACAUCCGAAUCUACUUUUUCGUGGGGGAUAACGUAGGGAAACUUACGCUAAUACCGCAUACGACCUACGGGUGAAAGCAGGGGAUCUUCGGACCUUGCGCGAUUGCAUGAGCCGAUGCCGGAUUAGCUAGUUGGCGGGGUAAAGGCCCACCAAGGCGACGGUCCGUAGCUGGUCUGAGAGGAUGAUCGGCCACCCUGGAACUGAGACAGGGUCCAGACUCCUACGGGAGGCAGCAGUGGGGAAUAUUGGACAAUGGGCGCAAGCCUGAUCCAGCCAUACCGCGUGGGUGAAGAAGGCCUUCGGGUUGUAAAGCCCUUUUGUUGGGAAAGAAAAGCAGCAGGUUAAUACCCCGCUGUUCUGACGGUACCCAAAGAAUAAGCACCGGCUAACUUCGUG